UUCAAAAUAAAAAUAUGGUUAAAUACUUUAGCUUCUUUUGGUUCAAUUGUAAUUUAUGAAAUUCUUAAAGAACAAUUUAUGGUAUUUUGAAUGUUUCACCAUUUUAGGGCGCUCACUUUAUAUAUAUAGAUAAGGAAAACUAGUUAACCCACUCUAGUAAAUUCCGAGUUAGUAAUUUCCGUAAAAGAUAAAAAGUUAGUUUCCCUAAACAAUAAGAAAAGCAUUUAGUCCACACUAAUAAAUUACUUGAAGAAUUUUUGUGUGCUUAAAACACUUGCAAGUGUUCUACUACUUCACAUGUUAAUAUGAUGGCGUCGAGUUUUACAGCUUUUAUAAUACAUAAAAAAAAAUUAGAUAAACUACAAAAAACUACCUCAACUAUUGUGCCAACCAUAUUUUCAUACCUCAUCUUUAAACAUUUCAAUGUCAUACCUUAUCUUACUAAUUUGUUGCAAUGUCAUACCUCUGUCACUUUGUCUAUCAAUUUAUCUGUUAAAUCCUGACGUGACUUAUGCUGGGUCCCACCCUCUCCACAUAUGGACUUGCACAUUGUAUUGUAAAGUAGAUUUCCCACCAAAACAUUUCCACAUCAUUUUUUAAAAUAAUUUUUGAAAAAAAAAUUAGAAUUUUGAACACUAUUUUUUCCAGCCAAAAGUAUUCCACGUCAGCUUUUUUUUUUUUAAUUCAUUUUUUAAAGGGUCCAAUUUUAGAAGAUAAUACAACCUAAAAUAUCCAAAUUUCAAAUAAACACAAAUCCCACAUCAACACAUGAUGUAACCUAAAGAUGAACACAAAUCCCACAUAAACACAUGAUAUAACCAAAAGAUGAACACAAAGUCCACUUCAAAAUUAACAACUCAAAACAUUUGCAAAGACCAAAAGAUGAACUAUAAUUCAUAUAGCAUCCUUAAUCCAUCUAACAUUUACAAAGAUAUGCAUUAGACAUCCUUAAAUAUCCCAAAAUGCACAGUGCACUAAUUCAAAAAACCUACUGAAAUCCAUCUAGCAAAACAGUGCAUUUCUAGGGUUACAAAUCAGUUCAAAAAACCAAAAGAAAUUCAAUGUUUGUGAUGUCCAAUUCCAGAACCCAUGUACCAUAAUUUCAGUUCCUAUUGCACAUAAAACAUGAUGCAAAAAACAAUAAUUUGUUACAAUUUCUGGCUUCUUUAGGUCUUAAUUGGUUUGCCUUGUCUUUCUUUGCUUGGUGGCUCUCGGUGAAUGAGCUUCAGGAUUUGCAGAUGAACUAUCCCCUGUUUGUGAUCCAUAAUUUCAAUGUUCAUUACAAAAUGUCUGAUGCAAAGCAAGGUUCUAAACUAA
rnacentral:lncRNA from 1 species